rnacentral:rRNA from 1 species
AUGGCUCUUUGUUAACCAAAUAUAAAGAGUCUGGCCUGCCCGGUGAUUUUUUAUUUAACGGCCGCGGUACUUUGACCGUGCGAAGGUAGCAUAAUCAUUUGUCUUAUAAUUGAAGUCUGGAAUGAAUGGUUGGACAAGAGCAAAGCUGUCUCUAACUAUCAAGCAUAACUUUAUCAUCAAGUUAAAAAGCUUGAAUAUAAUUAAAAGACGAGAAGACCCUAUCGAGCUUCAGGGUAUAUUAAAAUUUCUUACAUUUAUGUAAAAACAAUAUUUAAAUUUACUUUAGUUGGGGCGACUCGAGAACAUAAAAAGCUUCUUGUUUUUAAAAUACUGAUGAUUGACCCUUAAUUUAGGAUUAAAAAAAUUAGUUACCGUAGGGAUAACAGCAUUAUCUUUUUUGAGAGCUCAAAUCGAAAAAAAGGUUUGUGACCUCGAUGUUGGACCAAGAUAUCCUUAAGAUGCAGAAGUCUUAGAAGGUUGGUCUGUUCGACCAUUAAAAUCUUACGUGAUCUGAGUUCAGACCGG